UACGGAGGGUGCAAGCGUUAUCCGGAUUCACUGGGUUUAAAGGGUGCGUAGGUGGGCAGGUAAGUCAGUGGUGAAAUCUCCGAGCUUAACUCGGAAACUGCCAUUGAUACUAUUUGUCUUGAAUAUUGUGGAGGUAAGCGGAAUAUGUCAUGUAGCGGUGAAAUGCUUAGAUAUGACAUAGAACACCAAUUGCGAAGGCAGCUUACUACACAAUCAUUGACACUGAGGCACGAAAGCGUGGGGAUCAAACAGG
rnacentral:rRNA from 1 species